CUCUUUCUAGUUUAAAUAGAACCUUUGUCUUGCACACAAAAAGUAGGAUACCCUGAAAGAGU
rnacentral:tRNA from 1 species